AGGCGCGUAGCUCAGUUGGUUAGAGCACCACCUUGACAUGGUGGGGGUCGCUAGUUCGAAUCUAGUCGCGCCUACCA
rnacentral:tRNA from 19 species